GUUGGAAUGGUGUUAAAAUAUUCCCAGCAGGACAAGGGAGAAAUAACCCUUACAGAUUAUGAUAGUAAACAUAUCUGCAUCAUAUAUCUGACCGAAGUU
rnacentral:sRNA from 10 species